rnacentral:rRNA from 1 species
UACGGAAGGCAGCAGGGGGAAUAUUGCACAAUGGGCGAAAGCCUGAUGCAGCUAUGCCGCGUGUAUGAAGAAGGCCUUAGGGUUGUAAAGUACUUUCAUCGGGGAGGAAAAACAAAACUAAUAAUUUUAUUUCUUGACGUUACCCGAAAAAGAAGCACCGGCUAACUCCGUGCCAGCAGCCGCGGUAAUACGGAGGGUGCUAGCGUUAAUCAGAAUUACUGGGCGUAAAGAGCACGUAGGUGGUUUUUUUAAAGUCAGAUGUGAAAUCCCUGGGCUUAACCUAGGAACUGCAUUUUGAAACUGAAAUACUAGAGUAUCGUAGAGGGAGGUAGAAUUCUAGGUGUAGCGGUGAAAUGCGUAGAUAUCUGGAGGAAUACCUGUGGCGAAAGCGGCCUCCUAAACGAAUACUGACACUGAGGUGCGAAAGCGUGGGGAGCAAACAGGGAUUAGAUACCCGU